rnacentral:rRNA from 1 species
AUGACUUGUGUUGCUCUGUCCGAUCUGCACGUCGGCUGGGACAAACAGCCUGUCUGUGUCCGCCUAUCACGCCUAUGGCAUUACCGUGGUGGUUUGGAGAAUGGACCUGUCAAAGUUGUGCACAUGGUUCUUCUGGAUGCUCAGGGUAACCAUGGUUACGCAACUGUCCCAACGGAUAUUCUUGGCGCUUAUAUUGACAUGCUACAUGAGGGCGUGGUCUAUGAAUUUAGUCAAUUUGCCGUGCAUCCUCGGCCAAUCAUUUUGAACCCCGUCGACGCACCAUUGAUGAUCAAGUUUACACAAUUUACAGUCAUAAAGAACUGUUUCCACCUAAACGACGAGUUCCCAGAGUGGACAUUCCACUUGACUCCAAUUAACGAGCUACCCCCUGCAAAUGAUACUCCUCAGAACUACAUAGAUGUUAUCGGAGUCAUUACGGCAAUCUCUCCUAUGAAAGCUAUUCGGGUGCCUCACACACUUAGCCGAGUAUUCAAGCGACAUGUACUCCUAUCUGAUGAUAAUGGCAAUGAGCUUGGGAUAACCCUUUGGGGUGAAAGAGUUGUUCGAUUUAACGGAGAAAGUGUUCAUUUUAUGGGUCAAACAGAACCAGCUGUAGUCAUCUUUGUUGGCGCCACCGUUUUUGUUAAUGAAGGAUCUAAAGAAUUGUCUGGAGGAUGUGCCUGCAAAUGGUAUGUCAACCAUGAUAUACCAGAUAUAAGUGUAUUUAGGAGCAGGCUCCCGCCCUCGUUCCCAGCAAUUGAGCACCUUCCUGCGCCGUCUAGGAUUGUCCUCCAGGCCCAACAUGAUGAUGUCCUUCCUACGUCGUUAUUAAUCCAUCUCAUGAACAUUAAUUUAUAUCACAAGGAGGCAGGUACAUUUCGAUGCAACGUGACGGUUACAAGGGUUUCGCAUUUGAAAAAAUGGUGGGCCACCUUCUGUACAGGCUGCCACUAUAUGUCCAAGCCAGCUGCGAUGUCACUCAGUCAGCCUGAUGUAUAUACAUGUGGACGUCGUAGUUGUUCAUGUACCAGUGCAACAGUCAGGUACACAUUAUUUGUCCUUGCAAAAGACCGAAGCGGAGAAGCCGAGUUUGAGUUGUUUGGAGCAAAAGGGCAGCAGAUUGUCGGUCGAUCUGCUGGCCAGGUCAUUCGCAACAACAUGCGUCAUGACCCUACUAUUCACAAUGUUCAUGUGGCGGCCUCGAUGGUCAGGAAAAUUCCUCCUGAACUUUUAGGCUUGCUUGGCAUGAAAUGCACGUUUCAUGUUCGUGCGUCAUCUGACGGCUUCUUUGGAAGGUGGCCGGCGUUUCAUGUCGAUGCUAUUGAAUCAUUCGAGGCUCUGAAGACCAACCUCUCUGUCAUGGAUCUGCUUACCCCAUCAUGA